rnacentral:lncRNA from 1 species
GUUAUGAAGAAGGGAAAGAAAAGAUCACAUAUAUCUUGUCGUGACUAUUUUGCGACAAAUUACAAGGUUGAAACUUAAGUAAUUGUAUUUUUCUCCAUGCUGGUAAGCUCUUACUACAAUAUGUUGUUAAUAUGUACUUGAAAAUUGAAAUUGUAAGAUUAGAUUACUUUCGUAAUAACCCAUUAGCUGACAGGCAUGCAUAAUAUCUAUAUUAUUUGGCUGUCAAAUUUUAUAAAUCUUUCAUUCUUUUCAGCCUCAUUUGUUACUUAGGUUAAUUUCUCGAAUUAUAAAGGUUAGUACCCUAUGUCUAUAUUACAUUUUAUAACUUCUCUAUAGCAGAGAAAGACGAAAGGCAGGCGAGAAAAGGAGU